GUGUAGCUCAGUGGUAGAGCAUUUGCCAGCAGGCAUGAAACCCUGGGUUCAAUCCCCAGUAC
rnacentral:tRNA from 1 species